ACACAUGCAAGUCGAACGGAAAGGCCCUGCUUGCGGGGUACUCGAGUGGCGAACGGGUGAGUAACACGUGGGUGAUCUGCCCUGCACUUCGGGAUAAGCUUGGGAAACUGGGUCUAAUACCGGAUAGGAGCCAUCUUUAGUGUGGUGGUUGGAAAGUUUUUUCGGUGUAGGAUGAGCUCGCGGCCUAUCAGCUUGUUGGUGGGGUAAUGGCCUACCAAGGCGUCGACGGGUAGCCGGCCUGAGAGGGUGUACGGCCACAUUGGGACUGAGAUACGGCCCAGACUCCUACGGGAGGCAGCAGUGGGGAAUAUUGCACAAUGGGCGCAAGCCUGAUGCAGCGACGCCGCGUGGGGGAUGAAGGCCUUCGGGUUGUAAACUCCUUUCGCUAGGGACGAAGCUUUUGUGACGGUACCUAGAUAAGAAGCACCGGCUAACUACGUGCCAGCAGCCGCGGUAAUACGUAGGGUGCGAGCGUUGUCCGGAAUUACUGGGCGUAAAGGGCUCGUAGGUGGUUUGUCGCGUCGUCUGUGAAAUUCUGGGGCUUAACUCCGGGCGUGCAGGCGAUACGGGCAUAACUUGAGUGCUGUAGGGGUAACUGGAAUUCCUGGUGUAGCGGUGAAAUGCGCAGAUAUCAGGAGGAACACCGAUGGCGAAGGCAGGUUACUGGGCAGUUACUGACGCUGAGGAGCGAAAGCAUGGGUAGCGAACAGGAUUAGAUAC
rnacentral:rRNA from 1 species